GCAGGGCGUGGUGGAGCAUGCCUGUAGUCCCAGCUACACGGGAGGCUGAGGUAGGAGGAUGGCUUGAGCCCAGGAGUUCUGGACUGCAGUGCGCUAUGCCGAUCAGGUGUCUGCACUAAGUUCGGCAUCAAUAUGGUGACCUCCCGGGAGCAGGGGACCACCAGAUUGCCUAAGGAGGGGUGAACUGGCCCAGGUCAGAAACAGAACAGGUCAAAACUCCCCUGCUGAUCAGUAGUGGGAUCGCGCCUGUGAAUAGCCACUGCACUCCAGCCCGGGCAACAUAGCGAGACCCCGUCUCU
rnacentral:SRP_RNA from 1 species